UCCGUAGGUGAACCUGCGGAGGGAUCACUA
rnacentral:rRNA from 2 species